rnacentral:rRNA from 1 species
UUGGGAAUCUUGCACAAUGGGCGAAAGCCUGAUGCAGCAACACCGUGUGAGCGAGGAAGGCCUUCGGGUCGUAAAGUUCUGUUGUUGGGGACGAAGGGCGAAGGGUUAAUAGCCCCUAGCCUGACGGUACCCUUCGAGGAAGCCCCGGCUGUCAACGUCCCAGCAGCCGCGGUAAUACGUAGGGGGCGAGCGUUGUCCGGAAUUAUUGGGCGUAAAGAGCGUGUAGGCGGCCCGGUAAGUCCGCCGUGAAAACCUGGGGCUCAACCCUGGGCGUGCGGUGGAUACUGCUGGGCUAGAGGAUGGUAGAGGCGAGUGGAAUUCCCGGUGUAGCGGUGAAAUGCGCAGAGAUCGGGAGGAACACCAGUAGCGAAGGCGGCUCGCUGGGCCAUUCCUGACGCUGAGACGCGAAAGCGUGGGGAGCGAACAGGAUUAGAUACCCGUGUAGUCC